rnacentral:lncRNA from 1 species
AUGCAAGUUGAUCAAAGUAACAGUUUAUUUUAUACAAGUGUGUUAAUACAGGACAAAGUUGAGCUACGGGGGAUGUUGGACAGUGGCUCCAUGGUGACCACUCUGAGUGCGGAAGUUCUUCCUCAACUUGGAGACGCUGGGGUGCUGGACCGGGAUAUCCUGAGCUCUUCAGAUAUUGUCUUGGUGGGUUGUGGUGGCAAACAAACUACUCCAGAUGGUGUGUGCAAUCUGAAGCUUGAAGUGUACGGGGUCAGUUUCAUUGUCCCAGUUCUGAUUGUAAGGGGUCAAAAGGACCCGAUCAUACUUGGCACAAAUGUCUUGAAACCUCUAAUAAGUCAGAUGAAGCAUACGGACCAAUUUUGGAAAGUGGUAAAGAGACCUGGCUUGAUUGUGCAAUCUGAAAAUGGCCAAUUUUUACGCAUGCUUUCUUGUAUCGAGAGAUGGAGGGGUGAUUCGAUUCCUGAUUGGGUGGGUACUCUGAGACUGAGGUCAGCUGUGACACUCCAGCCAAGGAGCGAACAUCUUGUUUGGGGUCGUUUGCCUCCAGGGUCAGUACUGUCAGUAGGGAGCACAGUAGUCAUUGAGCCCAGUACUUCACGUUGUGCGCACCGGAAUGUGCUGAUUGGGAGGGUUGUGUCACCUUUGUGGGGCGAUGGCUGGCUUCCAGUAAAGAUGAUCAACCCGACCAAUGCAGAAAUUGUGUUGAGGAAAAAUGCGAAGGUGGCCGAUGUGUAUCCUUGCAUCGCUUUGGAGGACCUUGAUCAAACCACUGACAGAGUGUUUAGUCAAAAUGUAGGUACGGUACGUUCUGACAAGUCAUGUGGUAGCCUUACUGUGGGUGGCUCUACAUCUGGAGCAAGUUUGUCAGGUAACGGCAGGUUGGACGAUCUGGGGCUGAGCGACUUGAAUGUCGGGGAUUGUGAAGUGUCUCCUUUUUGGAAGAACAAGUUAGUGGAUCUCAUUGAAAAAUAUGAGUGUGUGUUUUCCAGGCACAGUUUGGACUGUGGCGAAGCAAAAGGUUUUUGUCAUCGUAUCAGAGUUACAGACGACAGGCCCUUUCAUCUUCCAUACCGGCGUCUUUCUCCUGCUCAUUACUUGAAGUUGAAAGAGACUUUAGAUGAAAUGGAGGACAAGGAGAUCAUUAGGAAGUCGAGCAGUGAGUAUGCGUCACCAUUGGUUUUAGUGUGGAAGAAAAACGGUGACUUAAGGAUAUGCACCGAUUUCCGAUGA